GUCUGGGCUCGGUUAACAGUCGGAUUUAGACGCCUUCACCAUGAAUCCUCGGAAAGGCUGAUGGAGAGCGACUGGGAUUGUUUUCAAUAUCAUUGGCUUUGGGAUAAAGAAAGUCUGGAUUCAAGGUCAUAAGAAAAUGGUGGCCAAAUGUUGCCCUGACCACACCUUGGUGAAAGCAUGUUGACCAGGCUGUCGUGCUGAUGCCUCGGAUCCUGGAUGGCAGUGGAGAGAAUGCUUCAUUCUAUGGCAUGCUGUUGAGACCUCCUUGUGCCUUUUUCUCGAAGUAGUCAAACCAGACUGCUGGAUUUGAGCUACCUUUGUGUGAAUAGAGAACUUUGGAGUUCAAGCUUCAGAGAGUUCCCUAAGUGACUCGCUAGAGAACUAAGAUAAGGCUUAACACUUUUUUUCUUUUAAUGCCCCUCACCUUCCAAUUUUUUGUUAUUUUGGAAUCACAUUUUAAAAUGAUAUCCAUUUAAUUUAUUGAGUCUUCCUGUCUGGUCUUAUUUAAAUGUGACUUUUUGGUUAGGUUUAUUGCUAGGAUUUUGUUUUGAUUUUUGCUUGUGUUUUUAAUGACCCUUUAUUGUUUUAUGAAUGAGAUCCUGUGACCUAUUACAUUUUUUAACUGCUUAUUGUUAGUGCAAUAUAAUAUAUUGGUUAUAUGAACAAACUCUGCCAGACUCUGUCACUUAUUAGCUGUGUGACCUCACAUAGUUACCUAUCUUUUCCUUAGGAUUUUUUUUAAAUCUUUAAAAUCAGGAUAAUAAUGCUAAUCUCCCUCAGGAUUAAGGGAGUUAAUAUACUAAACAGCAUUUAGUACAGUGCUCAGUACAUAGUCCUCAAAAAUUGUUAGUUGUUGUUACGACCACUGGUGUCUAGCACU